rnacentral:rRNA from 1 species
AGCAGCCGCGAUAAUUCCAGCUCCAAUAGCGUAUAUUAAAGUUGUUGCAGUUAAAAAGCUCGUAGUUGAAUUUCGGGAUCAAUUUAUUGGUCGUGCUAUUGUACGUACUGGUAUUAUUGAUUCCUACCUUCUGACGAACCAUGAUGUCAUUAAUUUGGUGUCUUGGGGAAUCAGGACUGUUACUUUGAAAAAUUAGAGUGUUUAAAGCAGGCUCACGCUUGAAUACAUUAGCAUGGAAUAACGAAAUAGGACGUUUGAUUCUAUUUUGUUGGUUUCUAGGAUCGACGUAAUGAUUAAUAGGGAUAGUUGGGGGCAUUAGUAUUCAAUUGUCAGAGGUGAAAUUCUUGGAUUUAUUGAAGACUAACUACUGCGAAAGCAUUUGCCAAGGAUGUUUUCAUUAAUCAAGAACGAAAGUUAGGGGAUCGAAGACGAUCAGAUACCGUCGUAGUC